UGGGGAAUUUUGGACAAUGGGCGAAAGCCUGAUCCAGCAAUGCCGCGUGUGUGAAGAAGGCCUUCGGGUUGUAAAGCACUUUUGUCCGGAAAGAAAUCCUUGGCUCUAAUACAGUCGGGGGAUGACGGUACCGGAAGAAUAAGCACCGGCUAACUACGUGCCAGCAGCCGCGGUAAUACGUAGGGUGCAAGCGUUAAUCGGAAUUACUGGGCGUAAAGCGUGCGCAGGCGGUUUGCUAAGACCGAUGUGAAAUCCCCGGGCUCAACCUGGGAACUGCAUUGGUGACUGGCAGGCUAGAGUAUGGCAGAGGGGGGCAGAAUUCCACGUGUAGCAGUGAAAUGCGUAGAGAUGUGGAGGAAUACCGAUGGCGAAGGCAGCCCCCUGGGCCAAUACUGACGCUCAUGCACGAAAGCGUGGGGAGCAAACAGGAUUAGAUACCCUGGUAGUCCACGCCCUAAACGAUGUCAACUAGUUGUUGGGGAUUCAUUUCCUUAGUAACGUAGCUAACGCGUGAAGUUGACCGCCUGGGGAGUACGGUCGCAAGAUUAAAACUUAAUGAAUUGACGGGGUCAUAGCUGUUUCCU
rnacentral:rRNA from 1 species